GACGAACGCUGGCGGCGUGCCUAAUACAUGCAGGUAGAACGCUGAAGGAGGAGCUUGCUUCUCUGGAUGAGUUGCGAACGGGUGAGUAACGCGUAGGUAACCUGCCUGGUAGCGGGGGAUAACUAUUGGAAACGAUAGCUAAUACCGCAUAAUAUUGACUAUUGCAUGAUAGUCAGUUGAAAGGUGCAACUGCACCACUACCAGAUGGACCUGCGUUGUAUUAGCUAGUUGGUGGGGUAACGGCUCACCAAGGCGACGAUACAUAGCCGACCUGAGAGGGGGCUCGGCCAACCUUGGACUGAGACACGGCCCAGACUCCUACGGGAGGCAGCAGUAGGGAAUCUUCGGCCAUGGACGGAAGUCUGACCGAGCAACGCCGCGUGAGUGAAGAAGGUUUUCGGAUCGUAAAGCUCUGUUGUAAGAGAAGAACGAGUGUGAGAGUGGAAAGCUCACACUGUGACGGUAUCUUACCAGAAAGGGACGGCUAACUACGUG
rnacentral:rRNA from 1 species